rnacentral:rRNA from 1 species
GAUGAACGCUGGCGGAGUGCCUAACACAUGCAAGUCGAGCGGAGCGUCAGACGGGUGAGUAAGGCCUAGGAAUCAGCCUGGUGGUGGGGGAUAACGUACGGAAACGGGCGCUAAUACCGCAUACUAUCAGAUGAGCCUAGGUCGGAUAAGCUAGUGGGGGGGGAAAAGGCCUACCAGGGCGACGCUCCGUAACUGGUCUGAGAGGAUGAUCAGUCACAUGUGAACGGAGACACGGUCCAGAAUCCAACGGAAUGAAGAAGGGGGGAAUUUCGGACAAGGGGCGAACGCUGACUCCAGCCAUGCCGCGUGUGUGAAGAAGGUCUUCGGAUUGUAAAGCACUUUAAGUUGGGAGGCGUUACCAACAGAAUAAGCACCGGCUAACUUCGUGCCAGCAGCCGCGGUAAUUC